GAAAAAUCUAGAAGGCAUCUCCUUCCAUGCUCUUUUAUUAUUUUUUAUGUGACCAUUUAUGUUUAGGAAUCAGAUUGAGGGGAUGCAGAGGCCCAAAUCAACUACUGCAGUAUGGCUGGCAAUCUCAGAGAGAUGACGACCUGCCAAAUUCCCGACACACAGGCGGAUGUCAGGGGCCACUGAACAGACCACACACUUCUGCUCUGCUCCUGGGGAUGCCUUUGAGAAAGAUUUGCUGGGAAGUGAAUGGCUUGAAUGGAGGAGAAAGGUGAACAUCGCACCCUUAAUUUUGCCAUUGAAUUCACCAGGAAAACAAGAAUGACAAGAGCAAAAGCCAGGACAAAGAAGGCCUGGCCUGCUAUUUGUGACUUAAAACAGUAGCAUGAAACUUUCAUCUUCUCGUAAUCUGUAAAUGAAACCAACGGUGAUAGCUUAUGUCUCUUAAACAAAUCUGCAAAGGUACUUACAACAAGAAAUUAGUCAUGUCUUGAGAAUGGG
rnacentral:lncRNA from 1 species